rnacentral:rRNA from 1 species
UACGUAGGGGGCAAGCGUUGUCCGGAUUUAUUGGGCGUAAAGAGCGUGUAGGCGGCCAUGUAGGUCCGUUGUGAAAACUCGAGGCUCAACCUCGAGACGCCGAUGGAAACCAUGUGGCUAGAGUCCGGAAGAGGAGAGUGGAAUUCCUGGUGUAGCGGUGAAAUGCGCAGAUAUCAGGAAGAACACCGAUGGCGAAGGCAGGUCUCUGGGCAUUAACUGACGCUGAGGAGCGAAAGCAUGGGGAGCGAACAGG